rnacentral:tRNA from 1 species
GGUAGGGUGGCCGAAGAUAGGCAUUAGACUGUAAAUCUAAGUAUAAAGGUUGUACUCCUUUCUCUACCA